AUUGAACGCUGGCGGCAUGCCUAACACAUGCAAGUCGAGCGGAUGAAGGGAGCUUGCUCCUGGAUUCAGCGGCGGACGGGUGAGUAAUGCCUAGGAAUCUGCCUGGUAGUGGGGGCUAACGUCCGGAAACGGGCGCUAAUCCCGCAUACGUCCUGAGGGUGAAAGUGGGGGAUCUUCGGACCUCGCGCUAUCAGAUGAGCCUAGGUCGGAUUAGCUAGCUGGUGGGGUAAAGGCCUACCAAGGCGACGAUCCGUAACUGGUCUGAGAGGAUGAUCAGUCACACUGGAACUGAGACACGGUCCAGACUCCUACGGGAGGCAGCAGUGGGGAAUAUUGGACAAUGGGCGAAAGCCUGAUCCAGCCAUGCCGCGUGUGUGAAGAAGGUCUUCGGAUUGUAAAGCACUUUAAGUUGGGAGGAAGGGCAGUAAGUUAAUACCUUGCUGUUUUGACGUUACCAACAGAAUAAGCACCGGCUAACUUCGUG
rnacentral:rRNA from 1 species